GAUGAACGCUGGCGGCGUGCCUAAUACAUGCAAGUCGAGCGAACAGACGAGGAGCUUGCUCCUCUGACGUUAGCGGCGGACGGGUGAGUAACACGUGGAUAACCUACCUAUAAGACUGGGAUAACUUCGGGAAACCGGAGCUAAUACCGGAUAACAUGUUGAACCGCAUGGUUCAACAGUGAAAGACGGUUUUGCUGUCACUUAUAGAUGGAUCCGCGUCGCAUUAGCUAGUUGGUAAGGUAACGGCUUACCAAGGCAACGAUGCGUAGCCGACCUGAGAGGGUGUUCGGCCACACUGGAACUGAGACACGGUCCAGACUCCUACGGGAGGCAGCAGUAGGGAAUCUUCCGCAAUGGGCGAAAGCCUGACGGAGCAACGCCGCGUGAGUGAAGAAGGUCUUCGGAUCGUAAAACUCUGUUAUUAGGGAAGAACAAAUGUGUAAGUAACUAUGCACGUCUUGACGGUACCUAAUCAGAAAGCCACGGCUAACUACGUG
rnacentral:rRNA from 1 species